CUAAAGGAGAGGAGGGGCCUCCAGGACCACAAGGGCCCAUGGGUGUAGGUGUUACAGGACCCCCGGUAAGAGAUCUGUGUGUGUGUGUGUGUGUGUGUUUAUUUUUAACUCUAGUCAAAGACAUUGAGUGAUUCCUUACUCCAUUCCCAUGUCAUUCCCAACCCAGGGUAAAGACGGUAGAGGUGGAUCCAAUGGAAUCCCAGGAGCGGAUGGAAGAGAUGGAACUGAUGGGGUCAAGGGGGACAAGGGUGAACCUGGAGAGUGUAACUGUAUCAGCCCUCCACAUGCAGGAACAGGAGGAACAGGAGGACCAGUGAGUAUGGCUAGGUUGUGCGCGCGCACACACAGACAUGCAUACACACACACACACACACACACACACACACACACACACACACACACAC
rnacentral:lncRNA from 13 species